rnacentral:misc_RNA from 1 species
GAUGAAGAACGUAGCGAAAUGCGAUACGUAAUGUGAAUUGCAGAAUUCAGUGAAUCAUCGAAUCUUUGAACGCAUAUUGCGCUCUCUGGUAUUCCGGAGAGCAUGCUUGUUUGAGUAUCAGUAAACACCUCAACUUCCAUAUCUUUUUUUGAAAUGGGAGUUGGACUUGAGUGAUCCCAACGCUUUUCCUCACCGAAAAGUGGCGGGUUACUUGAAAUGCAGGUGCAGCUGGACUUUUCUCUGAGCUAUAAGCAUAUCUAUUUAGUCUGCCUAAAAAACAGAUUAUUACCUUUGCUGCAGCUAACAUAAAGGAGAUUAGUUCUUGUGCUGACUGAUGCAGGAUUCACAAAGACAGCUUCGGCCGACUUUGUAAACUCGAUCUCAAAUCAAGUAAGACUACCCGCUGAACUUAAGCAUAUCAAUAAGCGGAGA